GCACAAGAUGGCUCGGAAGAUCCUGGGGAGGCCAAGAGGGUGGCACUGCAGUGGUUUGUGCUCUUGCGUAAAUUUCUCCGAUAUUUCCUUUGAAGAUGAAGAGAUGGUUGUCGAUACUGUUGCAAUUUUCGGGACGGACUUAAUGGAUAAUAAGUGAUAAAGUUAUUAGUGCAACGUUUACGGCAUUGAAAGUUGUACAAGUCAUGCAACAAAAGAUAAAAGGCGAAUCAAAUUUUCAUAUUCACAAUGUAUUCAGUAGCUGUCAAAAAAUACUAACGAAUGGCCCAGCAUCUUUAUUUCAAGGACACUUCUGUUUUCAAUCAAUUAAAAAUAAUUCAAAAGUCAACUUUCAAAUUCAUGGAGACAAUUCUUCCAAAUCGAUUCAAGUUAUUUGCGUAUGUUCUAAUCUGCAUCCUGGUUAAUAUUAAUACGAAUUUAAUUGAAUCUUAGCCAAAUGCUACUGUUACUUCAAAUCUAAGAUUAUCGUUUAAAAUUCCUUAAACGUCAGUUGCUCUUAUGUAAAUGGGACAAUUAGAAAAAAAAGGAUAUUAUGUUAAAAUGUAAAUUCGGGAACAAACAAAAUUUUUAUUGAAAUAUAUUUUGACGUCAAAUAAUCAUUGCAUUUUCUACUGCCACUAAAUAGCUCAUACUGAAAAAAAAAAAGUAAAUGCAAUACUAAUCUUUUACAAUCGUUGCUGUCAUUGAAGAACUGAAUUGAGAAGUGACAACCAUAAUUGGCAACGCUUUAAAAUGAGAAAUAUUGUAUAAUGGUAUAUGUGUGAAGAUAAAUUUAUUUUUAAAUCCAUUUGAGUGUCUAUGCAUAUAUACUUUUAUAUUGGAAUUGUAAAUAGGAAACAUUUUAUACCAAGUAUCAAAAGGAGAUAAAAAUUUCAAUUAAUUUUAUGUAAAUACUUAUUGCUUAUUGACAUUAAUACAUUGUAAAUUUUACAUAGUUUCAAUAGACCGUACAGAAAUUAGUAGAUUAUACGUUUAUUCUAUUUACCAAGUUAUGUCAAUGUGCAUUGCGUGUGUAAGUGUAAAUAAAAAAUAAUGAAAUCACUUGGUGCUAUAAAAGAAAAAAAAAGAAGAAAGAUGUUAAUCUAUAUAUAAAAACACAAAAGUCAGACAUAAUGCCCCCAGGGGCAGACGGAGGGACAGAUGGGCUUGGCCCCUCGUGUUCCAAUGCACAUAAUAGUCAGGAAAACGCUUCGCCUAAACUUGUGCCUCCAUUGACUUUCAUUCAACGGUGUUACAUGCACAUUAAGAGUUCUGGUGUAGGAGAAGCAAGCGUAUAUCAUGCUCUGGUUGUCAUAUUUUUGGAGUUUUUUGCUUGGGGCCUGCUGACAAUGCCAAUAAUAUCUGUAUUGAAUGAAACAUUUCCGGAUCACACGUUCCUGAUGAAUGGUUUAAUAAUGGGCAUUAAAGGAAUUCUAUCUUUCCUUUCGGCUCCUCUCAUCGGGGCCCUAUCUGACGUGUGGGGACGAAAAUUCUUUCUACUUAUCACUGUGGCCUUUACUUGUGCACCAAUUCCUUUAAUGAGUAUUAAUACUUGGUGGUUUUUCGCCAUGAUCUCUAUCAGUGGCGUUUUUGCGUGUACCUUCUCAGUUGUCUUCGCAUAUGUAGCUGACGUAACGGAAGAGAGUCAACGCUCGUUGGCAUAUGGUUUGGUUUCAGCUACUUUUGCCGCAAGUAUGGUGAUAAGUCCAGCCCUAGGUGCUUACACUAUGACGACAUAUGGUGAAAAUCUUGCAGUAGCAUUGGCUACGGCUAUUGCAAUCUUAGAUGUUUUUUUCAUUCUGGUUGCUGUACCAGAAAGUUUACCAGAAAAAGCUCGCCCGCCAGCCCCUAUUUCUUGGGAGCAAGCUGAUCCUUUUGCAGCAUUAGGCAAGGUUGGCAAGGAUCACACUAUUCUGAUGCUAUGCGUCACUGUAUUCUUAAGCUACUUACCAGAAGCUGGACAGUAUAGCUGCAUCUUUGUAUAUCUCAAACUAGCUAUGGGAUUCUCGGCACCUAUGGUGGCAGUAUUCAUUGCUGUAGUAGGGAUUUUAAGUGUUGGAGCGCAAAUACUUCUCGGCCCUCUAAUGAGGACAUUGGGUAGUAAACAUACAAUUAUGUUGGGACUCCUUUUUGAAAUGCUACAACUCAUGUGGUACGGCUUCGGCUCACAAACAUGGAUGAUGUGGGCUGCGGGAGUUCUCGCUUCUGUUUCGAGUAUUACAUAUCCUGCGAUAUCUGCAUUCGUCUCCAUGCACUCGGACGCCGACAAGCAGGGUUUGGUGCAGGGUAUGGUGACUGGGAUGCGGGGACUUUGUAACGGCUUAGGACCGGCCAUGUUCGGUGUUAUUUUCUACCUCUUUCAUGUAGAUCUCAAUGAUGAUUCACCUUCCCUUCCGUUAAAACCACCAAUUUUUGACGAGCACAAUCAUACGGGAACUGCUACACAGCAUCUCGCUAUCAUGCCUCAGCUAGUACCAGGUCCGCCGUUUGUUUUUGGUGCAUUACUUGUAAUUUGUGCACUACUCGUCGCUGCAUUCAUUCCUGAAUCAAAUCCAAUGACGAUGGGGCCAACGCACCAUUCGUCAACUUCCCGGAGGCCCUCCGGUAAAUACGCAUACCAGAAAUCUGAUUCGCUCCCUUGCUCACGAUGUUGAGUCUUCAACGUUUGGCGCAGAUUCGAAGCUCCAAGGCGAAUAGUGUCAAUGAAAUUGUUUCGCCCCUGUAUAAUAUGUCAUUGGAGACACUAUUGAGGUUUAUCACUAGAUGUCCAGUACGAAGUGGAUCGAGUAACUAGUGGACGAAGCAAAAUAGGACCAUUAUCUCCCCUCGUCGACAAUUGCAAUUCUGCUGCGCUAUAGCCAUAUCUGUACUUCAAACAGACAACCUCGUAUCCAGCAGAAAUCACAGCGCGCCAUUCCACCGGAAAGAAACAUACUGUGCCCUUCAUCAACAACGUAAGCCUCUAUGUAUUGGGCCAAACACAUCAACUCUGAAUGAACUAUGUUAUAGCUGUUCAUACUGUAUCAUACCGUCUACUCUAUCGGAUAAUUGACUUUGUUUUUAGGACGUACCAAAUGAAUAUGAAUAACAUUAAGGAGGUUUGCUAUGGAAGUGAAACUGGUUAAAACUUAAUAAUCGCGCGAGGUACUUUUGUAUGUGAUGUACCCAGUUAUCAAAUUUCGCGUCAUUUAUCUAUACCAUUUUUUUAAGAAGUGAAGAUGUAAGACGGCUUCUUACAUAUGAGAUCUUACGGUAGAUACAACAAGAAAAGUGAUUUUGACGUUGAAGUGAAUAAGAAAAAGGUUUUGCACAUCAAUAAAUAACUAUCUAGAUGGUAUUUAUGUAUUCGAAAUAUCUCAUGCGAAGAAAAUGAAUUUUCUUUGCAUUAUGUAUUUAUAGUAACCAAAGAAUGCUAGAGGAAGGAAGCCUUGGGGGAGGUUAAUUCGUUCGUGAAACUCCGCUGACAGUUGCUCUGAUCCCAGCAGAUGCAAACCUCCUUAAAUUCCAAGAAUCGCCAUUUUCUCGAAAUGAUUCGGUGAUAUACGGAAUCUUUUUCUUUUAAUCGGGAUCCACAUCACGUACAUUCUAAUGUUAAUUAUGAAGACCUGUUGUUGAAUGUUAUAAGAGGGUGAGAUGUUCCAAGGUGAUUAGCCAUUGCUUUGAUAUUGUUAUUUUGAUAAAUUCGCCAAAUGCACAAGAUAAAAUUGUUGAAAGUCACAGCCGAAAUCAUCAGUAUUGCACUAGAUUCCUAUCUCGCCAAUUUUUUUUUGAAGUCUAGUGUUUUCUGACGAACUUUUUUUUUUUUCAUUUUGCAUGUCUAACAUUUUUCAUUUUAGACGCAGCGUUAAGUCCGGAUCAGGUGUCAUUUUUUUACAUGUAUAAUUUUUGUAAAAGAAUUGAGCAUCGUUAAAACUUACAAGAAUUAGUGUUGAUACUGAAAAUAUAGUUUCAGCCUUUGCCUUCUGUGUGAAUAAAUUUAAACUACGGACAAUUCACAUGUAUUUUGUAGAUGUUGACACAUUCCUAAUUCUGACAAGCGUUAAAAUUUCCUAUCGUAAGAUAGGAAAAGGGAGAGAGAUUAUUUGAGCAUAGUCAUCAUGAUGGAUUCUUUAAAAUCGCAUUUUAGCUAAAAAGAAAACGGUAUCUUAUGAAGUGAUAUAAGUAAAAAUAAUACAGAAAAACUUAACUUUCGGCUUUUGAACGUACCGUUACUUCUACUUCAGAAGCAAAGAAAAAGAUUCUUUUCAUGGUGUACGUUAUAUCUGUUUCUACCGUCAAACAAUGUUUAUUAUAAAACUGAUGUCAAAGCAUUUACAUGUUUCGACGAUAAUAACAAUGACGAAUGUUGAUACAUGAAAUGGCGUCGUUACUUUUUAACUUCACAGUUUUGUCGAACUAGUCGUACGGAUUAAAAAGCACAAGGAAAUCAGAUGCUUCGUUUGUUAGGUUCUUAAAUUAUUGGACACGUACGAUGAAUCUGCCAAAGCUGCAAAGGUGCCGUUAGCAAAAACAUUCUGUAUUACGUUCAGACACCCUUUAUAUUUUCUUAGGUAACGUAAUAACACCUGUCAAGUCUCGUUUGAUUGCUGAACCUAUUGACAAUUAGUUUCUCUCGUACAAUAAAUGGGCAAAAGGUUAAUAAAAGGCUUCUACUGAAAGUAUGCACGAGGUUGGAUUUACCGUACUCUCGAUACUGGUUAAAGCUUGAAGUAGAAGAAUCUUUGAUAUUCUGCUUGACAUGAUUUAUCGCGCUAUUAACAUUUAUACGAUAAUGCAUAAUAAAAUUAACAUUGUCGAUUUUUCGAUUGUACAUGUAGAAGUCAAGAAGGGAGGUAUGUGAACUCCGUCAAAGCCAAAGAUCGAAGUUAUGGAAAAUUAAGUUGUAUUGGAUGUAGGUGAGCAAACGUAAUUAAUUCCAGCAAGUACGAUUCGAGUCACACAUCAAUGAUGAAGGUAAACUUUAAACGAUUGCUAUUUUUCUCCAAGAAUUUUUUUGUUGUCGGACGAUGUUGUGAAUCAUCAAAGUACAUAACCGUAACUUUUGAGAAAGUAUUGUUCAAUAUCUGAGGCGAUAGGUAGGCAUUCUUUAAUAGUAUAAUAGUAAACAAAGCUGGUUUAGGUAGACAAAUCUUUUGAUUUCCCUAUGUGCUGAAAACGUUCCUUGCGCUUUAUAUUUUAAUUUAAGAUUGUUCAUAGAUGUAACAAUUUUCGGAUGCAAUUUUGUGGAGCGUUACAAUUCAUUAAUUAUUAGGUUGCAUAAAGUCUAAAGACCGUGCAAUAUAAGCAACAUAUGAAUAGUGUGAAAGAAAUUUGGUAUGAAACUUUAGGUAUAUCGUUCCAUAGAGUGUCUGCAGUGUCGUUGACAAAUGCAAAAGCAUGUACAGUGUCACUGAUUGUAUAAUUCAAUUGUGUUAUUACUUAGUAAAUAAUUAGUAAUUUAUGUUUGUAUGCAGUCGAAGACACGUACACAAUUGUAUUAUAAAUGUAAUAUUAUAUAUAAAGAAAUGGAUAUGAAAUUCGAUAUAAGACGUAGACUAAGGCUGCUCGAAGUUGAGCCAAGCAACUGUAUAUGCAAAAUGUACGAUGAUGGAUUCGUCAAUAAAAAUUAUUUUUAAGAUAAA